rnacentral:misc_RNA from 1 species
UUCGAGCGUCAUUAUAACCACUCAAGCCUUGGCUUGGUAUUGGGGUUCGCGGUUUCGCGGCUCUUAAAAUCAGUGGCGGUGCGUCUGGCUCUAAGCGUAGUAAUUUUUCUCGCUAUAGGGUCCCGGUGGUGGCUUGCCAAAACCCCCCUUAUUUUCCUACGGUUGACCUCGGAUCAGGUAGGGAUACCCGCUGAACUUAA